rnacentral:rRNA from 1 species
AACGAACGCUGGCGGCAGGCUUAACACAUGCAAGUCGAACGAGAUCUUCGGAUCUAGUGGCAGACGGGUGAGGAACACGUGGGAACAUCCCUUUCAGUUCGGAAUAACGUUGGGAAACUAACGCUAAUACCGGAUACGUCCUUCGGGAGAAAGAUUUAUCGCUGAAAGAUUGGCCCGCGUCUGAUUAGCUAGUUGGUGAGGUAAUGGCUCACCAAGGCUACGAUCAGUAGCUGAUCUGAGAGGAUGAUCAGCCACAUUGGGACUGAGACACGGCCCAAACUCCUACGGGAGGCAGCAGUGGGGAAUAUUGGACAAUGGGCGCAAGCCUGAUCCAGCCAUGCCGCGUGAGUGAUGAAGGCCUUCGGGUUGUAAAGCUCUUUUAUCCGGGAAGAUAAUGACUGUACCGGAAGAAUAAGCCCCGGCAAACUUCGUGCCAGCCGCCGCUGUAAUAC